rnacentral:lncRNA from 1 species
CUUUUGUUAUUUGCAUUCUAAUCUUUUUCAGAUUUAGGCACACACAUAUUAUUGACAAUCAUUGUGGGUGUGCGAGGAUCAUUAAGUAUGACACUCCACAUGUCAUAGUCUUAUGUUUGAAUAAAAAUUUUUAUCUUAAUUUUUUAAUAAGUGUAAUUAGUACCAUUGAAAAAAAGAGAUCUAAUAGUUGAGUGUCCUUCACCUAACAAACAACUAAAUGGGUUAGCCAUG